rnacentral:tRNA from 1 species
GGCAUGUAGCUUAGUGGCAGAGCACUUGCCUAGCAUGCCAGAGGGCCUGGGCUCUAUGUCCAGCAAUGCCA